GAAGCGGCAACAGCUCAAAUUUGAAAUCUGACCCUUUAGGGUCCGAGUUGUAAUUUGCAGAGGGUGUUUCGGGCACGGUGCCGGUUUAAGUCCUUUGGAACAGGGUGUCAUAGAGGGUGAGAACCCCGUAUGUGACCGGUCGCCAGACCCAUGUGAAACCCCUUCGACGAGUCGAGUUGUUUGGGAAUGCAGCUCAAAAUGGGUGGUAAAUUUCAUCUAAAGCUAAAUAUUGGCCAGAGACCGAUAGCGCACAAGUAGAGUGAUCGAAAGAUGAAAAGCACUUUGGAAAGAGAGUCAAACAGCACGUGAAAUUGUUGAAAGGGAAGCGCUUGCGACCAGACCUGCUCGCGGGUGAUCAGCGGUGCUUUUCGCGCCGUGCACUCAUCCGCGAUCAGGCCAGCAUCGGUUCAGGCGGCCGGACAAAGACUCGGAGAAUGUAGCUCCCUCCGGGGAGUGUUAUAUCUCCUUGUGCAAUACGGCCAGCCGGGACCGAGGACCGCGCU
rnacentral:rRNA from 1 species